rnacentral:rRNA from 1 species
CCUACGGGAGGCCGCAGUGGGGGAUAUUUCACAAUGGGGGGAACCCUGAUGCAGCGACGCCGCGUGGGUGAAGGAGCGUUUCGGCGCGUAAAGCCCUAUCGGCAGGGAAGAAGAUAACGGUACCUGACCAAGAAGCACCCGCUAACUACGUGCCAGCAGCCGCGGGAAUACGGAGGGGGCAAGAGUUAUCCGGAUUUACUGGGUGUAAAGGGGGCGCAGACGGCAAAGCAAGCCAGGAGUGAAAGCCCGGGGCCCAACCCCGGAACUGCACUUGAGACUGCAUGGCGGGAGUACAGGAGGGGCAGGCGGAAUUCCUAGGGUAGCGGUGAAAUGCGUAGAUAUUAGGAGGAACACCGGUGGCGAAGGCGGCCUGCUGGACUGUGACUGACGUUGAGGCCCGAAGGCGUGGGGAGCAAACAGGAUUAGAUACCCCUGUAGUC